AAUUCCCGCCGGUCCGCCAUGGCGACCNGAGCAAUGCAACGUCGGGGCCCAAUUCGCCCCGUAGUGAGUCGGAUACAAUUACUGCUUUGUUUUUCUCCCCCCCCNCAGCGUGUAAAACGACGGCCAGUGAAUUGUAAUACGACUCACUAUAGGGCGAAUUGGGCCCGACGUCGCAUGCUCCCGGCCGCCAUGGCGGCCGCGGGAAUUCGAUUAGAGUUUGAUCCUGGCUCAGAACGAACGCUGGCGGCAGGCUUAACACAUGCAAGUCGAGCGCCCAGCAAUGGGAGCGGCGGACGGGUGAGUAACACGUGGGAACAUGCCCUUCGGUACGGAACAACUCAGGGAAACUUGAGCUAAUACCGCAUACGCCCUAACGGGGAAAGAUUUAUCGCCGAAGGAUUGGCCCGCGCCUGAUUAGCUAGUUGGUGAGGUAAUGGCUCACCAAGGCUUCGAUCAGUAGCUGGUUUGAGAGAGCGACCAGCCACACUGGGACUGAGACACGGCCCAGACUCCUACGGGAGGCAGCAGUGGGGAAUCUUGGACAACGGGCGAAAGCCUGAUCCAGCCAUGCCGCGUGAGUGAUGAAGGCCCUAGGGUUGUAAAACUCUUUCGGCGGGGACGAUAAUGACGGUACCCGCAGAAGAAGCUCCGGCUAACUUCGUGCCAGCAGCCGCGGUAAUACGAAGGGGGCUAGCGUUGUUCGGAAUUACUGGGCGUAAAGCGUGCGCAGGCGGCUUUUCAAGUCAGGGGUGAAAGCCCAGAGCUCAACUCUGGAAUUGCCCUUGAAACUGGAUGGCUCGAGUGCGGGAGAGGUGAGUGGAAUUCCCAGUGUAGAGGUGAAAUUCGUAGAUAUUGGGAAGAACACCGGUGGCGAAGGCGGCUCACUGGCCCGUUUCUGACGCUCAUGCACGACAGUGUGGGGAUCAAACAGGAUUAGAUACCCUGGUAGUCCACGCCGUAAACGAUGGACGCUAGCCGUUGGCAGGCUUGCCUGUCAGUGGCGCAGCUAACGCAUUAAGCGUCCCGCC
rnacentral:rRNA from 1 species